GGUAAGGCAAAGUGGGAAAGCAAAGUUGACUUCGGGUGAGGCCUCCCAACACACUUGCAGCCAAUGGUAGACCUUGACACAUUUCAACCGUUCUAUUCCCCAUGCUUACUAAUCCCUCUGGAACCUGCCCAUCAACAAAUGCUCUUUGUUUGAAAAUGGACCAACAAUGAUCUUCUCCUAAUUUUCCCAACAUAUGAAGAUCUACUGCUAUUAGAGAUGCUAUCCAUUUCAUACGAGUUGUCACGAGAAUGCAGUUUCCUAUGGAUGGAUGUAUUUAUUCCUUUCAAUGAUCAGUUCAACAAAGCUCUUAGUCUUCGACAUUUCAGGUAGACACAAAAAACUCUCUUUUCAAAGUGUUUCUUGAUAUGUUCAUCAUUGAAAAUUCUCUUAGCUAUGAGAAUGGUGCAAUCUGGAUGCUUUGGUGAAGCUUUGUCUGUACACAAGGAACGAUUAUCUUGGGCUGAAAAAAUGGAGAAGCGGAUAACUACACUUAGAGAACCUCCAAAUUUAUUUGGAUGAGAUUUGCGAAAUGUUGCUAAUAGGUGUGAAUUUAAAUUUAUGGAGAAUAUCAUAAAACAAGUGCUACAAGAGGCCAACCAGACACCUCUAGAUGUUGCUUGAAAUCCAGUUGGAGUAGAUACUCGUAUCAAUGACAUGGUUGGUAUAUAUGGCAUUGGUGGAAUAGAAAAAACAACUUUGACAAAAGGUAUCUACAAGACUACAACCAAAUAUUUUAGUAAUUUGGUUGUAGUUUGCUUCCUUUCAAAUAAUGGAUCCUGAAGCAUUUAAUGGACAAAUUUUCAAAAAUAAAGACUUCAAAGUUAACAGUGUUACUGAAGGCAUCAAACUAAUCAAAGCAAGACUCGGGUUAAAGAAGGUUAUAUUGUUCUUGAUCAGCUUUUGUGAUAUUGGAGUCACAUUUGCAAGGAAGAUUGGUCACUAAAUGAAGACAUCAAGUCCAAAAAUUAAGAGCAAUUCCUUGUAGUGAUAUCCAAAGAUGAGCUUUUGAUGGACUUGAUGAUGAUACUCACUUUUGAAGUUGUAUUUAAUAUAAUAUGAAUAUUAUUCUGAAUAUUUUCUUGAAAAAUAAAACAUAACUCUAUUUUCAA